GUGUGUGUGUGUGUGUGUGUGUGUGUGUGUGUGUGUGUGUGUGUGUGUGCUGGCUGCGGGAGCGCCCGGUGGACGUGUUCGACAUGGCGCGCCUGCGCCUGCAGGCCUCGGUCUGCCGGCCGCUGUCCAGGAACCCCGAGCCCGGGAACCUGCAGCGUAUCCACGACUCCCUGCAGCUCCGACCCAGCGAGAGUGAGUUCAGGGCGCUCUCCACUGGGUUUCCCAGGGUCCGUGAGGGAGACAGGGGCGUGGCCAGCCAGAGGAGGCGGAGCUACAGGGACCAUCCUCCCAUGUCGGGCAGCCAGAGAACUGCCCAGGACGGUUACCUGGACGGGAACCCCCCCCAAAACAGACUCUACCAGAGGGGGACCACGGCGGGCUCUGCCAGAGGGUCUCUGUUGGAUUCCGACAGUUCUUUCAUAGAUCCCCUGGGGGAUGCCUACCCCGUCCCCCCCACCCCGGAGCAGAGGGAGACCCCCCAGCUGUCAGCGAGGGAGAGGCGACGACUGACCAGGAAACCGCAAUCCCCCCCGCCCGCCUCCAGGGAUCCGGUUGGCCGGCCAAUCAGCUAUUCCCGCCAAUCCCAGAGCAGUGUUCAUGGGAUGGACCCGGGUGGGAGGAGGGUCCAGAACCAGACGGGGAGACCCACGCACAGUCGCCAUGACAACCAGACUGGCCGAGGUGACCGCCCCUCCCCCUCCCCCUCCUUCUCCUCUGAGGAUGAGGAGGCUGACUACGGGGAGGAGGAAGAGGGCUCCUCCCCCCCCCGCCACCCCACCUCCUCCUGGGACUCUGUGGCCACAGACCUGUGGGCCCAGCCCCAGUGACACCAUCCUCCAAAGAGAGACAAGAGACACCACCGCAACCAUCCAGAGAGAGACCAGAGACGCCAACGCCACCAUCGAGAGAUAGAGACCAGAGAAACCACCGCCCGUCCAAAGAGGGACCAGAGAGAGACCAGAAACCACCGCCACUGUCCAGAGAGAGACAAGAGACCACCGCAACCGUCGAGAGAGAGACCAGAGACCACCGCGACCGUCCAGAGAGAGACCAGUGAGAGACCAGAGAUCACUUACACCG
ensembl:lncRNA